GGUCUUGCAAAACAUCUUUUAUAUUGGGUCAUACUUCAUGUAAGAUCUCCUUUUAGUAGCGUGGAGUUUGAUCUUUGGUUAUACAUUGAGUUCUAUAAGACCUGGUGGGGAAGGGUGCCUGGACCCGGUUGUCAAAAACAUGGCGGUAAUGGCGGAUUUGGUACAUUGAACUAAAUAUAACUGGAAGGCUACCUUCUGAUAUAUCGGUAACACACGAAAUGAAGCCAAAAUUUUGCGUGAUCUGACCUCCAGACACGCGUUUCUGGUAGUCAAAUCACGCGAGUUCGGCCUCGCGAUGCGUGAUUGGAAGGAGUGAGUAAAGAGUCUAAACGAAUAAACUACAUGUUUUGGCCAAGCUUUAGAAAGGAAAAUUACUGAAUUUAUUUAGUUUUGCUGCGUUUUCUUUUGAUAUUAAUACAGGAAAUUUAAGUUUCUUGCCGACCAAAUAAUUUUUUACCCAGAAGGCUUACCGAUGGCAAAGGAUUGUGCUCGGAUAUUGGCGAAAACUUUCAAAUGUAAAAAUCCCAAUGGCUUAUUGAGUCGGUGCCUGUCACCGUUGCUUUGAAAACGUGUUCGCAGAACUCUAUACAACGAUACACCGCUGUGGAUGGAAUCUGUAAACCACCGUUGUUCACGAAGUUGACUGAAUACUUAUCUUUGUCCUAAAGACGACAAUUAUGCAGUGAAAAAUAACUUUUGUUUGCAAAAUCAAGGAAAUAUACGCUCUAACGUUAAAAAAAGGACUGGGGUGAGAAGAAGCUAUACUUGUUUUUCUUCGUAAAUAUUACUUUAAAACAUAAUUUUGCUAACGUUCUGUUAUGUUAAUGUCAUUAUUGGUUUAACGUUUUUUAAGAAAUUUUUAAAACAAUACCAUGCAAAUUUGCAAGAUGUCAAAAUCGCA